CGAACGGGUGAGUAAUGCGUGACCAACCUGCCCCAUGCUCCAGAAUAGCUCUUGGAAACGGGUGGUAAUGCUGGAUGCUCCAACUUGACGCAUGUCUUGUUGGGAAAGUGUUUAGUGGCAUGGGAUGGGGUCGCGUCCUAUCAGCUUGUAGGCGGGGUAAUGGCCCACCUAGGCUUCGACGGGUAGCCGGCCUGAGAGGGCGGACGGCCACAUUGGGACUGAGAUACGGCCCAGACUCCUACGGGAGGCAGCAGGC
rnacentral:rRNA from 1 species